rnacentral:rRNA from 1 species
GAGGACCGAACCGACUAAUGUUGAAAAAUUAGCGGAUGACUUGUGGCUGGGGGUGAAAGGCCAAUCAAACCGGGAGAUAGCUGGUUCUCCCCGAAAGCUAUUUAGGUAGCGCCUCGUGAAUUCAUCUCCGGGGGUAGAGCACUGUUUCGGCAAGGGGGUCAUCCCGACUUACCAACCCGAUGCAAACUGCGAAUACCGGAGAAUGUUAUCACGGGAGACACACGGCGGGUGCUAACGUCCGUCGUGAAGAGGGAAACAACCCAGACCGCCAGCUAAGGUCCCAAAGUCAUGGUUAAGUGGGAAACGAUGUGGGAAGGCCCAGACAGCCAGGAUGUUGGCUUAGAAGCAGCCAUCAUUUAAAGAAAGCGUAAUAGCUCACUGGUCGAGUCGGCCUGCGCGGAAGAUGUAACGGGGCUAAACCAUGCACCGAAGCUGCGGCAGCGACGCUUAUGCGUUGUUGGGUAGGGGAGCGUUCUGUAAGCCUGCGAAGGUGUGCUGUGAGGCAUGCUGGAGGUAUCAGAAGUGCGAAUGCUGACAUAAGUAACGAUAAAGCGGGUGAAAAGCCCGCUCGCCGGAAGACCAAGGGUUCCUGUCCAACGUUAAUCGGGGCAGGGUGAGUCGACCCCUAAGGCGAGGCCGAAAGGCGUAGUCGAUGGGAAACAGGUUAAUAUUCCUGUACUUGGUGUUACUGCGAAGGGGGGACGGAGAAGGCUAUGUUGGCCGGGCGACGGUUGUCCCGGUUUAAGCGUGUAGGCUGGUUUUCCAGGCAAAUCCGGAAAAUCAAGGCUGAGGCGUGAUGACGAGGCACUACGGUGCUGAAGCAACAAAUGCCCUGCUUCCAGGAAAAGCCUCUAAGCAUCAGGUAACAUCAAAUCGUACCCCAAACCGACACAGGUGGUCAGGUAGAGAAUACCAAGGCGCUUGAGAGAACUCGGGUGAAGGAACUAGGCAAAAUGGUGCCGUAACUUCGGGAGAAGGCACGCUGAUAUGUAGGUGAAGUCCCUCGCGGAUGGAGCUGAAAUCAGUCGAAGAUACCAGCUGGCUGCAACUGUUUAUUAAAAACACAGCACUGUGCAAACACGAAAGUGGACGUAUACGGUGUGACGCCUGCCCGGUGCCGGAAGGUUAAUUGAUGGGGUUAGCGCAAGCGAAGCUCUUGAUCGAAGCCCCGGUAAACGGCGGCCGUAACUAUAACGGUCCUAAGGUAGCGAAAUUCCUUGUCGGGUAAGUUCCGACCUGCACGAAUGGCGUAAUGAUGGCCAGGCUGUCUCCACCC